rnacentral:rRNA from 1 species
GACGAACGCUGGCGGCGUGCCUAAUACAUGCAAGUCGAGCGGAACUGGGGGAGCUUGCUCCUUCCAGUUUAGCGGCGGACGGGUGAGUAACACGUGGGCAACCUGCCCUGCAGAUCGGGAUAACUCCGGGAAACCGGUGCUAAUACCGAAUAGUUUGGCGCCUCUCCUGAGGCGCUACGGAAAGACGGUUUCGGCUGUCACUGCAGGAUGGGCCCGCGGCGCAUUAGCUAGUUGGUGGGGUAACGGUCCACCAAGGCGACGAGGCGUAGCCGACCUGAGAGGGUGACCGGCCACACUGGGACUGAGACACGGCCCAGACUCCUACGGGAGGCAGCAGUAGGGAAUCUUCCGCAAUGGACGCAAGUCUGACGGAGCAACGCCGCGUGAGUGACGAAGGUUUUCGGAUCGUAAAACUCUGUUGUGAGGGAAGAACACGUACCAACUAACUAUUGGUACCUUGACGGUACCUCACCAGAAAGCCACGGCUAACUACGUGCCAGCCGCCGCAGUAA